rnacentral:lncRNA from 1 species
AAUCAUGAGCUUUUCCUUAACCUUGUAAUAUUCUUCUAUCCAAUAAAACAAUUUUGCUUAAUCAAGUAGAAUUUUGACUAAGUCAUGUAUUCAUCUUCAUACUUCUAAAGCUUCUUGAUGAUUUUGAACUUUUUUUUACUUCUAGAAUUUCAUUGGUCAAGUUUACACUACUUUCAACACCUCCCACCUCUCAACCAAAUGACUUGGAUAAAUCGAACAAUCGUCAUUUGUGGUAAAGAUCUGAUGAUCUUGAACUCGAAUGAGAAUAACUCCCGCAAACUCAAAACUAAAAGAUCCUGUACUGAUCAAGUCCAACGAUAUCACUACCCAACCAGUCUCCCUUGACCUAAACACUUCAAACCGCUUCCUAAUCCCCAUUUGACUCACACUGUUUGGAGGAAGAAAAAAGAACAGGGGUAGGGAUGGGAGGUGAUAUAGAGGUGAGAGGGUGGUGUGAAUUCAGCAUUGGUGGGGGGAAGAAGAAGAAGAAGAAGAAGAAGAAGAAGAAGAAGAAGAAGAAGAAGAAGAACCCAUUUCCUUCUCCUCAAUUUUUUGAAGAAAAUCUUAAAUUAGGUCUUUGUAUGUGUGUGUUUGUAAUAUAGAGAUAGAUAGUUCUGUGCGUCUCUAUGAGCUCGAAAAUGUGAACGGAGUCUGGGAAUGAUGGAAGGAACAAAGUUAAACCUGCACAGUUGGAAAGAGCAAAAAAUAAUAUGGGGGAGAACCAGAAAUAACGUAUAAUAGUUGUUGUGUGAUGACCAAAUUGGAUUUUUUGUUGGAUUUAUUUUUGUAAACUGAACUAUUCAUUCUAGUUCCUAUAGCUCUUCUACUUAUCGUUUACGUAAAAACAAUUAGUCAAAAUGAUUUUUGAUUUUGAUGAUCUUAUAACUUAACUCUUUACCAUCAUAUAUAAGGAUUGUAAUGUAGUAAAGUUUCUCUUCUUUUUUAGGCAUCACAAAAAUAUAAGAUAACACUAUUAAGAUGUGUGCAAGAUGAUUAUUCGAAUUAUUGUGAAUCAAAAAGAAACCCUAAAAAAGGUAUGCUUUUGCUUGACCAAUGGGAUGCAACCAAAACAAGUACCCAAUAUUAAUGCUGAUUCUUGAGUCAACAAUGACAAGGCUUGAUGAAACUAGAGGAGACUGCA